CGCGCCUGCGCAGUGCGCGUCCACGCCUGUCCACUGACCCGACUCCGCGCUGCUCGCUGCAAGACGCUGGGAGCUCCUCCGUGUUUGUGUGAAGUCUCUCCUCUUCAGACCUGAUUGCGUCCUUCUGUCAAGAGACAGAGCACCCCAGGCCAGCGCAACCGACAGGGGUUUGUUACCCACAGCUCGGACCGACACCGCGCCGGAGUCAAGGGGGCCGCGGGGCCCAGAGUCCUGGCUUCAUCCCGGGACAGAGAAGUUCGGCUGGUCAGUGUGACCCGGGAGGCUGCGCUGCUGACCCAAGUGAGCUUCCUCCAGGGCCCCUGGGAGAAAGCCCAGGAAACAGGGUUUGCCAAGAACUGUCUGAAAGGUUACAUCUCAGAGUGGCCGAGUUCCUGGGGCUCAGGCCCUCAUCACUGCUCUCACUGGCUCCAAGAAUGACCACCUCGAUCCUCCGGCCUCUGCAGGCUUGGGGUGGCCUGGCUGCCUUCUGACUCCGGCCCUGGGUGAUUCAUUUGUUGAAUGCGUCACCUGUUUGGCAAAGGACAAGAAGACUGAAGUAAGGGAGCCAAGCACCUGGCCCUGGGUGUGUGAGUGCCUGGUGACCCUUAGGAUCGGUGGCUCCUGUAGUCACGGGUUCCUGUAAGUCACGGGAGGUGCUGCACACCCAGCUUCCCUGCCAGGCUAAACCAAGUGGAAAGAAUAUCUCUGCUGACCGCACGUCAUCCACAGUCCCACAUUGUCGCAGAAACAGGAGGUUCCACGACAGAAGGGAGCGAGUGAGGAGACAAUAGAUCUGUUUCUAUGUACCAGGGUAGAGACCAAGAAGUGACAAGUGGUAACAGCUCUGUCUUUCUAAGGCACAGUUUUACGGACUUUGACCAAGACAGGCCAGCCGGACCACAUGUUGACACCAUGCACAGAUCCAGCUUUCAGGCACUGUGCGUCAGUGCUGAGGACCAACAGGCUGCGAGGCCCCUGAAGGAGCGGUGGGACCACGGGCAGCCACCCAAGCCAGCGCCCUCAUCUGCAGAGGGCCCACAGCGUGAAGACGAGGGAUGUAUGUGCGAAGUGCCUGAGAUAUGGCUGCACAGAGGACACUGACGUGGCAGCUCCUAGGGUGUUCACACCAACUCAGCCACCGUGCAAAUCCACAGUCAUCGUGGGCAAAGUCGAGGCAGUUUUAAAGAGGAACUUUCUGCUCAGUCCUACCCUAGUGCUCACCUGCCAUUCAUUUCUUUUCUAGUCUUCCUUUGUCCAACUUCCUUUUCAAAGCAGCUCACAUCCUCUAUUUCCCACUGACUGCAUUAGGUCUUCUGCCCUAACCUUUGCACCAAGGUCACCAAAUGCCCUGCAGCUUCCAAAUCUGACUGAGACGUCAUUGCUUAGCGUCUUCAAUUCCCCAGGUGUAAUUCAGUUUUAAUUUGAACUUCUCUCCUCCGUCAACUACCAUGACAACUAUCUGCCAUUCUGCACUUACCUCUCCAGCCUCUCCUUCCUGGCUCUCUGCAGUCGUUCUCAGCCCUAAUCCUAGUGUGUGUCCUGCAGAAACAACCUCAGCUCCACUGCGGCAGGACCCGUGUCUUCCUCUCCUCCGUUACAGUCUGGAGCCCCACGCACCUGCGGGCCAGCUCCUCAGACUCCACAGAGCUCCUCACCUCUUCCAUCCCACCUUGCUCCUGUUCCUCACCCCACCCCUCGCCCUGGGUGAGCCCCACCCUCCUCCACGACCCAGACUUCUCACAAAAGGACAUCACAGCACCUCCCAGCAGAAACCCUGCCAUUCUGUCCAGUUCCCAAAUCUAAAAUACCCCUAAACGCACCUCCUUCUCCCCAGAUCACAUCUCUCAUGUACACGCAUAGCCCAGCACACACUGAAUCAUCCCUGCACAACCAGCACCCAGGGCACAGAUCUCAAAUGUGUGCCUCAGCAAAGUCACCCAUCCCGUGCCACAGACAAAGCUGGCACUAGGGGCUCUGGCGGCAGAUGUUGCCUCUUACUUCAGUCUCCCCAGUCUCUGGCAUAAUGCACCCUGGCAGAGUCAAUACUUCCAGAAGUGUGGGGGAAAGACGGGGAGAGCACAGAGGAGUUCGGGUCCUUUCUCAGGAGAAUGACAGCAGAGAAGAGGGCGGGCUCUGCCUCAAGUGGAAGGAAGCACGUGAAACCUCACUAGUGACAUAGGCAGGGCUGAUGCUAUACAAGAAACAGCAAAACGACAGCACAUGUACCAGGCAGACCACAAGCCAGCA